AUUGAACGCUGGCGGCAUGCCUAACACAUGCAAGUCGAACGGAAACAGGACGCUGUGAUCUCUUCGGAGUGAACUUGUCGCUGUCGAGUGGCGGACGGGUGAGUAAUGCAUAGGAAAUUGCCUUGAAGUGGGGGAUAGCCCGGAGAAAUCCGGAUUAAUACCGCAUAUGUUCUACGGAACAAAGUGGGCCUCUGAUUUAAGCUCAUGCUUUGAGAUAUGCCUAUGUCGGAUUAGCUUGUUGGUGGGGUAAAAGCCUACCAAGGCGACGAUCCGUAGCUGGUUUGAGAGGAUGAUCAGCCACACUGGGACUGAGACACGGCCCANACUCCUACGGGAGGCAGCAGUGGGGAAUAUUGGACAAUGGGCGCAAGCCUGAUCCAGCAAUGCCGCGUGUGUGAAGAAGGCCUGCGGGUUGUAAAGCACUUUUAUCGGGAAAGAAAUCCUUAAGGUUAAUAACCUUGA
rnacentral:rRNA from 1 species